UUUUUCCAUCUCUAAGGCACAUAGAGGAAGACAGUCGAAUUUUAUACUUGUUGGUGGUGUUGUCGUGAGUGUGGUGGUACUUAAACAUGGACAGGUUUAUGAAAAGAACAGCAAGCGAACAGCCAAAUCCUGAUGAGGAUCAAAAGAAGAGGAGGCGUGAUUUUUCUAUAGCUUGGGAUCAUUUUAAAAGAAACAGCGAAAAAUGCAUAUGGAUAAAUGGAUAUGCAAUUACUGUGGUAAGCCAAUAAAGACGUGUGGAAACACAACAAAUCUAAUGGACCACUUUAAGCACGUUCAUGCUGAUCGGCUUAAAGUUGGGGAAACUGCACAGAAACCAAAUGUGUUAGAAAAGUUUGUUGGAAAAUCGGUUUCCUUUUAUGAGAAUGACUCGAAACGAAAACUUCUCCUAGACAGUAAGGUAAUGAACGUGAUUGCUGUCGAUGUUCAACCUUUUUUUGGUGUUGAGGACGACGGAUUUAAAGAGCUCAUGAAAGAAAUGGACCCCCGCUACAGGUUACCUAGUAGGUCACACCUACGUCGCGCAGGUGCUUCCAUCUCAAUAUGAGUCUCUUACGAAUAAACUCCAGUCCGUACUUAACGAUAUCGAUUUUGUGGUCAUAACGACUGACUUG